UACGUAGGGUGCAAGCGUUAAUCGGAAUUACUGGGCGUAAAGCGUGCGCAGGCGGUUAUGUAAGACAGAUGUGAAAUCCCCGGGCUCAACCUGGGAACUGCAUUUGUGACUGCAUAGCUAGAGUACGGUAGAGGGGGAUGGAAUUCCGCGUGUAGCAGUGAAAUGCGUAGAUAUGCGGAGGAACACCGAUGGCGAAGGCAAUCCCCUGGACCUGUACUGACACUCAUGCACGAAAGCGUGGGGAGCAAACAGG
rnacentral:rRNA from 1 species